rnacentral:piRNA from 1 species
ACUGAGUCCGUAGUUUGGAGUGUGGA